rnacentral:rRNA from 1 species
AGAGUUUGAUCCUGGCUCAGGAUGAACGCUGGCGGUCUGCUUAACACAUGCAAGUCGAACGGAGUGCUUCGGCACUUAGUGGCGGACGGGUGAGUAACGCGUGAGAAUCUGGCUUCAGGAUGGGGACAACGACUGGAAACGGUCGCUAACACCCGAUGUGCCGAGAGGUGAAAUAUUAAUAGCCUGAAGAUGAGCUCGCGUCCGAUUAGCUAGUUGGUGGGGUAAGGGCUUACCAAAGCGACGAUCGGUAGCUGGUCUGAGAGGAUGAUCAGCCACACUGGGACUGAGACACGGCCCAGACUCCUACGGGAGGCAGCAGUGGGGAAUUUUCCGCAAUGGGCGCAAGCCUGACGGAGCAAGACCGCGUGGGGGAUGAAGGUCUGUGGAUUGUAAACUCCUUUUGAUAGGGAAGAUAAUGACGGUACCUAUCGAAUCAGCAUCGGCUAACUCCGUGCCAGCAGCCGCGGUAAUACGGAGGAUGCAAGCGUUAUCCGGAAUUAUUGGGCGUAAAGCGUCCGUAGGUGGUUUAUCAAGUCUGUUGUCAAAGCGUGGGGCUUAACUCCAUACGGGCAAUGGAAACUGAUAGGCUAGAGUGUGGUAGGGGUAGAGGGAAUUCCCAGUGUAGCGGUGAAAUGCGUAGAUAUUGGGAAGAACACCGGUGGCGAAGGCGCUCUACUGGGCCAUAACUGACACUGAUGGACGAAAGCUAGGGGAGCGAAAGGGAUUAGAUACCCCUGUAGUCCU